rnacentral:rRNA from 2 species
GAGUCUUAAUUGGGCGUUAAGUUGCAGGGUAUAGACCCGAAACCCGGUGAUCUAGCCAUGGGCAGGUUGAAGGUUGGGUAACACUAACUGGAGGACCGAACCGACUAAUGUUGAAAAAUUAGCGGAUGACCUGUGGCUGGGGGUGAAAGGCCAAUCAAACCGGGAGAUAGCUGGUUCUCCCCGAAAGCUAUUUAGGUAGCGCCUCGUGAAUUCAUCUCCGGGGGUAGAGCACUGUUUCGGCUAGGGGGCCAUCCCGGCUUACCAACCCGAUGCAAACUGCGAAUACCGGAGAAUGUUAUCACGGGAGACACACGGCGGGUGCUAACGUCCGUCGUGAAGAGGGAAACAACCCAGACCGCCAGCUAAGGUCCCAAAGUCAUGGUUAAGUGGGAAACGAUGUGGGAAGGCCCAGACAGCCAGGAUGUUGGCUUAGAAGCAGCCAUCAUUUAAAGAAAGCGUAAUAGCUCACUGGUCGAGUCGGCCUGCGCGGAAGAUGUAACGGGGCUAAACCAUGCACCGAAGCUGCGGCAGCGACACUGUGUGUUGUUGGGUAGGGGAGCGUUCUGUAAGCCUGUGAAGGUGUGUCGUGAGGCAUGCUGGAGGUAUCAGAAGUGCGAAUGCUGACAUAAGUAACGAUAAAGCGGGUGAAAAGCCCGCUCGCCGGAAGACCAAGGGUUCCUGUCCAACGUUAAUCGGGGCAGGGUGAGUCGACCCCUAAGGCGAGGCCGAAAGGCGUAGUCGAUGGGAAACGGGUUAAUAUUCCCGUACUUGGUGUUACUGCGAAGGGGGGACGGAGAAGGCUAUGUUGGCCGGGCGACGGUUGUCCCGGUUUAAGCGUGUAGGUGUGUGUUCCAGGUAAAUCCGGUUCACUUUAACACUGAGGCGUGACGACGAGGCACUACGGUGCUGAAGCAACAAAUGCCCUGCUUCCAGGAAAAGCCUCUAAGCAUCAGGUAACAUCAAAUCGUACCCCAAACCGACACAGGUGGUCAGGUAGAGAAUACCAAGGCGCUUGAGAGAACUCGGGUGAAGGAACUAGGCAAAAUGGUGCCGUAACUUCGGGAGAAGGCACGCUGACACGUAGGUGAAGUGAUUUACUCAUGGAGCUGAAGUCAGUCGAAGAUACCAGCUGGCUGCAACUGUUUAUUAAAAACACAGCACUGUGCAAACACGAAAGUGGACGUAUACGGUGUGACGCCUGCCCGGUGCCGGAAGGUUAAUUGAUGGGGUCAGCGCAAGCGAAGCUCCUGAUCGAAGCCCCGGUAAACGGCGGCCGUAACUAUAACGGUCCUAAGGUAGCGAAAUUCCUUGUCGGGUAAGUUCCGACCUGCACGAAUGGCGUAAUGAUGGCCAGGCUGUCUCCACCCGAGACUCAGUGAAAUUGAACUCGCUGUGAAGAUGCAGUGUACCCGCGGCAAGACGGAAAGACCCCGUGAACCUUUACUAUAGCUUGACACUGAACAUUGAGCCUUGAUGUGUAGGAUAGGUGGGAGGCUUUGAAGUGUGGACGCCAGUCUGCAUGGAGCCGACCUUGAAAUACCACCCUUUAAUGUUUGAUGUUCUAACGUGGACCCGUUACCCGGGUUGCGGACAGUGUCUGGUGGGUAGUUUGACUGGGGCGGUCUCCUCCUAAAGAGUAACGGAGGAGCACGAAGGUUGGCUAAUCCUGGUCGGACAUCAGGAGGUUAGUGCAAUGGCAUAAGCCAGCUUGACUGCGAGCGUGACGGCGCGAGCAGGUGCGAAAGCAGGUCAUAGUGAUCCGGUGGUUCUGAAUGGAAGGGCCAUCGCUCAACGGAUAAAAGGUACUCCGGGGAUAACAGGCUGAUACCGCCCAAGAGUUCAUAUCGACGGCGGUGUUUGGCACCUCGAUGUCGGCUCAUCACAUCCUGGGGCUGAAGUAGGUCCCAAGGGUAUGGCUGUUCGCCAUUUAAAGUGGUACGCGAGCUGGGUUUAGAACGUCGUGAGACAGUUCGGUCCCUAUCUGCCGUGGGCGCUGGAGAACUGAGGGGGGCUGCUCCUAGUACGAGAGGACCGGAGUGGACGCAUCACUGGUGUUCGGGUUGUCAUGCCAAUGGCACUGCCCGGUAGCUAAAUGCGGAAGAGAUAAGUGCUGAAAGCAUCUAAGCACGAAACUUGCCCCGAG